AUUGAACGCUGGCGGCAGGCCUAACACAUGCAAGUCGAACGAGUGGCGGACGGGUGAGUAAUGUCUGGGAAACUGCCUGAUGGAGGGGGAUAACUACUGGAAACGGUAGCUAAUACCGCAUACCAUCGGAUGUGCCCAGGUGGGAUUGGCUAGUAGGUGGGGUAAAGGCUCACCUAGGCGACGAUCCCUAGCUGGCCUGAGAGGAUGACCGGCCACACUGGAACUGAGACACGGUCCAGACUCCUACGGGAGGCAGCAGUGGGGAAUAUUGCACAAUGGGCGCAAGCCUGAUGCAGCCAUGCCGCGUGAGUGAAGAAGGCCUUCGGGUUGUAAAACACUUUCGGCGGGGAGGCGUUACCCGCCGAAGAAGCACCGGCUAACUCCGUGCCAGCAGCCGCGGUAAUUC
rnacentral:rRNA from 1 species